rnacentral:lncRNA from 1 species
AUUUAUUCAUCCCUGGUAGCGGUUCCAGGAAAGCGGUUCCACGAGAAAAAGGAACCCCUUUCUAAUAGAGCCAGCUGACCAAGGCAUUAGGAGGGCAAGGACUUUGGACGCCUCUCUCCAGCAAGCUGGAGCCAGAGCCAGAGUUAACUGGCCCCCUGAGCCCCCUGUAAGGGGCAGUGGCCAGGCUUGGAGUUGGCGAGGGUGCCCUGGCUAGAAAAUGGAGAUGUAAAGUGUGCCCUUUUCCUGUGGCUCUGAAAGAGGGACCAGAAUCAAGGGGCUCUGGGGCCGUCCAAGAGCAAAGAUGGUCCCACACUGGAUUAGAGAAUUCCCAGAGCAAUCCUACCCUCUUCCCCGCCCCCACUGCUCUUGUCCCGCAGCAGAGGACCCUGCCAAGGUGAUGAGAACCUCCUUGUUAGAGGUCUUGGGAUAUGAACACCCUCCUCUCACCAGCAUGCUGGAAAGGAGACUCACAGGUUCUGAGCACUGUGUGUCAGGCCCUUCGCAUGUGUGACUACUUCAUCUGUCAUCCUGUGAGAAAGUGAUCUCCAGGUGCCAUAAGCAUGCCUUCAGGAUGGGAUGUCUAGCCCCAAGACAAAGAACCAAUCUCCAGACAUUUGAGAGAAGUCUUCAAUAUGUAAGAGAGUCCAAAACAACAGAAAAAGGAACUCAGAAACAAAGAUCUCAGAAACAAGGAUGCUGCAAAGAGCAGAAAAAAACUUUAAAGAAACUAUUGAUGAUAAUCUCAGGAAGACUGGAAGAAAUACUGCGUCCUGAAACAAGAACAAGAUGCCACAAAAGGGGAAAAGUCAAAGAACAAAGCAAGGAAGAUCUCACACUGAAUGAAAAAAGAAAUGAAUAGAUGCCAACCUCAAGAUGACAGAGGUGUGAGAAUUAUCUGAGGAAGAUUUUAAAGCAACCAUCAUAAAAUUCUUCACUAAGCACUUGCGAACACACUUGAAACAAAUGAAAAAAGACAAAGUCUCAGGAAAGAAAUACAAGAUAUAAAGAAGAACCAAAUGGAAAUUUUAGAACUGAAAAAUACAAUAACUAAAAUUAAAAACUCUGUGGAUGUGCUCAACGGCAGAAUGGAGGGGGACAGAAGAAAGAAUCCAUGGACUGGAAACUAGAACAUGAAAAAUUACCCAAUCUGAACAACAGAGAGAAAAUAGACUGAAAAAAACGGUGAACAGAGCCUCAGAGACCUAUGGGACUAUAACAAAAGAUCUAAUAAUGGUGUCAUUGGCAUCUAAGGGGAGAAGCACAUGUGGGAUGGGAUAUAUUGUGAUGGCCAUCCUUGGAAAAUAUAAUUGCCUAUAUCCAUGUUGAUGCACGGAGCUAUAGUUUUCUAUUUCACUUCAAUAUCCUGUUGUGUGAUUGAACCACAAUUGAUUUAGUCAUUCUAAUGUAAUGGACAUUUGGGUUGUUUCCAUUUUUUUGCUAUUAUAAAUAGUGCUCUGGAAGUAUUCUGUUCAUGUCUCCAGGAUUUAUAAAUGAUAGCAAUUUACUGAAUUCCAGGAGUGGAAUUACUGGACUACUAAGUAUAUGAAUGUUCACCUUCAACAAAUAAUGCGAAAUUGUUCUUGGAUGUGAAUAUACUAAUUUCUAGCCCCAUAGCAAUUUACAUUUCACCAGGAUUUUGUCAAUCUUUUAAUUUUUUUCGAAAUUAGUGGGCAUGAAAUGGUAAUUUGUGGUUCUAUUUGCAUUUCCCUUUUUACUAACAAGAUUGAGUAUAUUUUCAUAAAUUUAAUGGGUCAUUUGUGUUUUCUCUUCUGUGAAAUGCCUGUUCACGUUUUUGAAAUUUUUUUUAUUGUAUUAUUUGUCCCCCUAAUUGAUUUAUAGGAUCUGGCUAGUAAUCUUUUGUUUGUUUGUUUUUAUGUGUGAAAAAUUCUGUUAGGAUUUUAUUGGAAUAGUAAUAAUGCUAUAGAUGAAUUUUGGGAGAAAUACAAUUUUACAGUAUUGAAUCUUUCUAUCCAUGAACAUGGUGUUGCUCUCCAUUUGGUUUUCUUAUUGCCUUUUAAUAAGGUGCUAUAUUUUUCUACAUAAAGAUUUUGCAUAUCUUGUGGUAGAUUUCUUUUCAACUACCUUAUAUUUUUCAUUGCUAUUGUAAAUUUUUAAAUUGCAUUUCUAACUUUAUUGCUGGUGUUUAUAAAU